UUGACCUACACCAGUGUACCACCUAACACAGUACAUCCAACGCUGGCUGCUGCACUGACCAAUAGGAACAGCAUCAGGCCUUCCUGUACCAGCUGAUGCAGCAGCAGCAACACCCACCCGAGCUCCAGCAGCUGCAGCUCCGGGGACCCACGCAGAUCCCAUCAAAAAUCUCCUUGCAGGCGCUCAGGCACCUCCACUCCACACAGCUACCACCAACCCCUUCCUCACCAUCCACGGGGACAGCACGAGCCAGAAGGUCACAAGAGGUAGUGAUAAAACUGGGCCUGUAACUCAAGAGAAAAUUUAA
rnacentral:lncRNA from 1 species